GUGGAAUGCUUUGAGAGCCUGCAUGCAGUUUGCAGUGCUUUCUGGUUUCACUCCGUCACUGACACUGCUCCGUCAGCAUGUGUCCUGAAGUGCUGGCGAUAGAGCACCAAACCAGCCUGAAACAGACAUGAACAGUAAACAGAGGGAGAUCCAAGAUAGUGGUGCCAAACAUACAUUGCAUCUGAUUAGCAGGACAAUCAGAACUGCACAGCGGCCUAAACAUCAAACUGAGAGCUACAAAACACCAGUGCUGCUGGUUCCCAGCUGGCAAAGACCACGCCUCCUGCAUGAGGCAGUUUCCUGCCCACAAAGAUCACAAGAGCCCAGAGAGGGAGAGAAAAA